GUAAUGGAUGAAAUCCAUCCUAAUGGCUUUUGCCCUGAAGAAGCAUUUUACAAUAUUUGGCCUUCUGCCCCACUGCCAGUAGCAUAGGCUGACUGGGUUUCUAUUACCAAUAACGUCCUUCUUUUUAUGCUCCUUGUUCUGUUUUCCUUUGUGUUGCAGUAAGCAGAAUGAAGACCAAAAGACAUUCAGAAAGGAGAACAGACAAAAGAGAAGUGAUAGUGAACAAGUGCUAGAAAUACAAGACAGAAACAAGAUUUGGGAAAAGUUUGGGACAGAUGGAAUCUAUCAUUCGAUACAUUUAGAGGAAGCCUGAGAAAUGACGGUACAAUUUGAAUGUGGAAAGCAGGAAUCAAGGAAGAAAGAACAAUAGACUGACAGGAUACCAGUUCUACUCCUGGUUCUAGCAACCCAGUGUGUGACUUUGGGUAAGUCAUUUCACUUCUUGGAACCUUGGUUCCCUUAUAUAUAAAAUGAAUAAUUUAGUCUAGAUGAUUUACUACUUUUCUUCCAGCUUAAAAAAAAAACCUUA
rnacentral:lncRNA from 1 species